AUCCAACCAUGGUAUCAUUAAAAUAAUUAGUAACCAUAAAUAAUUUUAAAAUAAAAAAAAGAUUACAAACAGUGUAUCAUGCUGACUUCAUUAAUAAAAAAUAAGUAAGUAAAUAAUAAUAUUAAAAGUGUCAGAAGAGAGGUGAGAGGUGCAAAGCCAUGGGCUCUGUAAGUGCACAAAAAUAGACCAUAUCCAGACAGCAUCACACCACCCAGUCACAGUUUAUUUUACUACAUGUAACAUUAGGACUUUAUUUUUACCACUGUACAGUAUAUACUGAGAACACACAGACACACAAACAUCAGUAGAUAACUUGCUCAAAACCAAAACAAGAACAGUGCCAUGCAGAGUCAUUUUGAGUGUUUGUACAGAGCUUUUCACCAUACCACUCAUCCCAAAGCAGAUUUACAAAUAGUGCCUUACAAACCAACAAAGAUUAAACAGCAGAAACACCAAUCACACAUGUACCUCAAAUAUAGAAGAACAUUAUCUGUAAUCUAAAGUUGCUUGAGCAUUAACAAGAUAGUUUGAUAUUAAAGGCAAAGUUCACCCAAAAAUCAUUUUAUUCAUCAAUUAUUCACGGUCAAGUUGUUCCAAACCUGUAUGAGUUGCUUUCUUCUGUUGAAAACAAAACAAGUUACUCUGAAGAGUACUGGUAACCCAGUAGUUCCCAUUUCUGGUCCCCAUUUACUUCCAUAGUAUUUUUUGUCCAUACUAAACUGUUUGAUUACCCACAUUCUUCAAAAUAUCUUCUCUGAAUUGUCCUUUAACUGGGGUUGCUGAAGGGGGAGUUCCAUCUCUUUGAUGUGCUGGUGGUUUGUGGAAAUGCAAACCAAGUAAAUGCAAGUGAAAGUCUGCUACGAUGGAAAAAUCUGGUGGAAGUCUUUGCAUUACGAAGAGCAGUUUAGGAGUUUGGGGGCUUUCCUCUGUGGUAUAGUUUUGAGGAUUUUACAACAAAACUAGGGGUGCACGAUAAAUAUCGGCUGAUAAUUAAUGCGCAUCUCGUCAGUAAAGCCGGUUCUCUAAUCAGCGGUAAAUUCUAUCAGGUGCGUGAUUUCACAUAGAGCUGGGGGAAGUUGUGGCCUAGUGGUUAGAGAGUUUGACUCCUAACCCUAAGGCUGUGGGUUCGAGUCUCGGGCCGGCAAUACCACGACUGAGGUGCCCUUGAGCAAGGCAACGAUCCCCCAACUGCCGCAGCAUAAAUGUCUGCCCACUGCUCCGGGUGUGUGUUCACUGCUGUGUGUCUGCACUUAGGAUGGGUUAAAUGCAGAGCACGAAUUCUGAGUAUGGGUCACCAUACUUGGCUGUAUGUCACGUCACUUUUACUUUCACUGUUACUACACAGGGCUGAGUUUCCCAAAAGCUUCGUAAGCCUAAGAAGUUCGUUAAAACGAUCGUAUGACUGAUCUUAAUAUUACAGUCUGUUUCCCAAAAGCAUCGUAACUUAAGUAGCACUUGAAAAUCAUCGUAGAUCUACGAGUGCAUCGAUUUAUGCGGUCACCUGCAGGACAAUCAGCAGAUUGCACCUUUAACUUUAUUCAAGUGCAAUGUGAUUAUAAUAUAAGGAUUUGAUUGUACUUUAUUGUUCAUUUUGUACUCGUAUUUGUUGUUGUUUUAAAUGAAUUUAUAAAUGAAAAAUAAUUAAAAAGGGCAUAAAAAUAGAAAUACACUUCUAAAUUAAAUGACUGAACAAUACAUU
ensembl:lncRNA